rnacentral:rRNA from 1 species
GACGAACGCUGGCGGCGUGCUUAACACAUGCAAGUCGAACGGAAAGGCCCUGCUUUUGUGGGGUGCUCGAGUGGCGAACGGGUGAGUAACACGUGAGUAACCUGCCCUUGACUUUGGGAUAACUUCAGGAAACUGGGGCUAAUACCGGAUAGGAGCUCCUGCUGCAUGGUGGGGGUUGGAAAGUUUCGGCGGUUGGGGAUGGACUCGCGGCUUAUCCGCUUGUUGGUGGGGUAGUGGCUUACCAAGGCUUUGACGGGUAGCCGGCCUGAGAGGGUGACCGGCCACAUUGGGACUGAGAUACGGCCCAGACUCCUACGGGAGGCGACAGUGGGGAAUGUUGCAAAAUGGGGGGAAGCCUGAUGCAGGAACGCCGCGUGCGGGAUGACGGCCUUUGGGGUGUAAACCGCUUUCGCCUGUGACGAAGCGUGAGUGACGGUAAUGGGUAAAGAAGCACCGGCUAACUACGUG